CACGAAGAGGCCUCCAUCGGUCUUUCAACCUUGCCUAUCGUACCCUUUUUGUUGUUCCCUCGGCGGGGGUAAAGCCCGCCGGCGGGAAGCUCGAAAAACCCUUUGCAAUCAGCAUCCAAAAACUCUGAUUACAAAACCUUAAAUCGUUA
rnacentral:misc_RNA from 1 species